rnacentral:rRNA from 1 species
ACCCGCUGAACUUAAGCAUAUCAAUAAGCGGAGGAAAAGAAACCAACAGGGAUUGCCUUAGUAACGGCGAGUGAAGCGGCAACAGCUCAAAUUUGAAAUCUGGCCUCUUUGGGGUCCGAGUUGUAAUUUGCAGAGGGCGCUUUGGCGUUGGCAGCGGUCCAAGUUCCUUGGAACAGGACGUCACAGAGGGUGAGAAUCCCGUACGUGGUCGCUAGCCUUCGCCGUGUAAAGCCCCUUCGACGAGUCGAGUUGUUUGGGAAUGCAGCUCUAAAUGGGAGGUAAAUUUCUUCUAAAGCUAAAUACUGGCCAGAGACCGAUAGCGCACAAGUAGAGUGAUCGAAAGAUGAAAAGCACUUUGGAGAGAGAGUCAAACAGCACGUGAAAUUGUUGAAAGGGAAGCGCUUGCAGCCAGACUUGCCUGUAGUUGCUCAUCCGGGCUUUUGCCCGGUGCACUCUUCUGCGGGCAGGCCAGCAUCAGUUUGGGCGGUUGGAUAAAGGUCUCUGUCAUGUACCUCUCUUCGGGGAGGCCUUAUAGGGGAGACGACAUGCAACCAGCCCAGACUGAGGUCCGCGCAUUUGCUAGGAUGCUGGCGUAAUGGCUGU